rnacentral:SRP_RNA from 1 species
GCCGGGUGCGGUGGCGCGCGCCUGUAAUCCAAGUUACCGGGAGGCUGAGGCUGGAGGAGCGUUUGAGCUCAGGAGCUCUGGGCUGCAGCGGACUAUGUCGAUCGGGUGUCCGCACUAAGUUCGGUAUCGAUAUGGUGCUCCAGGGGGGAGCCCGGGAUCACCAGGUCGUCUAAGGAGGGGUGCACCGGCCCAGGUCGGACACGGAGCAGGUCAAAGCCCCCGUGCCGCUCAGUAGUGGGAUCGCGCCCGUGAAUGGACGCUGUAGUUCAGCCUGAGUAAGACAGCGGGACCCAGUCUUUA